AGGGAAUCUUCCGCAAUGGACGAAAGUCUGACGGAGCAACGCCGCGUGAGUGAUGAAGGUUUUCGGAUCGUAAAGCUCUGUUGCCAGGGAAGAACGUCCUGUAGAGUAACUGCUACAGGAGUGACGGUACCUGAGAAGAAAGCCCCGGCUAACUACGUGCCAGCAGCCGCGGUAAUACGUAGGGGGCAAGCGUUGUCCGGAAUUAUUGGGCGUAAAGCGCGCGCAGGCGGCUGUUUAAGUCUGGUGGUUAAUCCUGGGGCUCAACCCCGGGUCGCACUGGAAACUGGAUGGCUUGAGUGCAGAAGAGGAGAGUGGAAUUCCACGUGUAGCGGUGAAAUGCGUAGAGAUGUGGAGGAACACCAGUGGCGAAGGCGGCUCUCUGGUCUGUAACUGACGCUGAGGCGCGAAAGCGUGGGGAGCAAAC
rnacentral:rRNA from 1 species